rnacentral:lncRNA from 1 species
CUGACUUCCUCCAUCCUGUCCAGCGGGAUGGGAUGGACAUGGGGACAGCCUGUGUGCACAUUUCGUGGCGAGUGGGAAUGACACACCAUCUCUGGGAGGCACCAUGGUUCCUGGCAAACCCGAUCCCAAGACUCUGUCCUUGAGGUGGUUUUACCAAAUCCCAAACCCAGAACUGCGGUUGUGGCUCAGGGGUCAGCUCCUGCUAGUGCCAGGACACUACUGGGAGGCUGGGACCCGACCAAAGCCCAUGGUGUUUCUGGCCUGAGAACAAGGUGUCUUGGGACCAUAAGGCCAGGCCACCAAUGGCCAUUGGGUCAUAGGGGCUCAGCCCCAAUCUUUGUCUUUCCCUGGCUCCUUCUGAUUCAGUCCCAUCAGGGCCCUGGAUCCCAAGACUCAGCAUCCAAGGUCCCCUCCAGGAAUCCUGGCAGCUCAGCAUACUUUAUCCUGUUUCAUCUGAGAGCAAAAAUGUAAAAUUGGAUGCACAGAAAAGUGACUCAAAGUGCUUAAUGACUAGAAGAAAUCUAGGAGCAGCAAGAAGGUAAUGUGGAGGGAGGGACCUCCAUGACCGGUGUCUGCAGAGCCAGGGGUACAGGCACCCAGUGCUGUGGCCUGGCACCACCUGCCUCUCAGAGGGUGGGUGGCACACUCCUUAACCAGAGGACAGCAGGCCUGGUCACCAGCUUUUCUACCUGUCCCUGUAAGCAUCACAUUGCUGGAGGAAAAUCUCAUGCCAGAGCUUGGACCAUCCCUAGCUCGGGUUAGGGGUUGUCCCUUGGUGACCUAAAUGAAAAAACAGGUCCAGAACAGAGUUCCUGAUGCUGGACACUCAUUCAGUCUUUGAAUCGUGGGAGGGGAGGCCUGGUACUAGGUAGACCUAACCUCUUUGAGGAACCACAGAGCCCAAGGCUGGAAACCUCCAGAAUCCUCCACCCCCUGAUCCUCCCUGGGGACCCCUGUGGCCUGUCUCACUGAGCACUCUUCCAUCUGUAGAUGUCUGGGCUGCUGUACAAGGGAGUCCCCUUUCAGGUGUGGUGCUAGACAUGGUCACUCCUGCUGGAUGUCUAGGUGGUAGAAACCAAGGACCUAGGGAAAUACCAGCUACAGCCUUUCCCCGCUCAUCCAGAGCAGGACAAACAGGCCAGGCGGUGUCAGGAGCCCAGGUCUCCAGCUGGAGGGAACGUCAACCCUGCGGUGGGAGUAGGGGCCCUUUGCACAUCCUAGGCACAGAUGGUAAUGUAGACACCACAGGUAAGCUGGGCUUGGUACCUACCCCUCCCCGGAUUCAGAAAGAAACCAAACAAGGAGCUUUGUGCGGAAUGAAACCUCCUUUCCUCCCAGAAGCACUGCUGACUGUUUGGUGGUUGCCAUUUGUGGCAGUGAGCCUUUGUUUGUUCUGAGGUUGGGCUGGUUUCUCCUCUUGGUCCUGCCCUACAGAUCAUAAAGGAGAACAGCAAGAGGUCCCCAGCAAACAUCCACAGAUGGCCUUGGAACCUCACCCUGCAGGAAUGCCAGUGAACAUACUGCUGACAUCUUGGAGCUCAGUACCCUCAUAGUGUAACGGCGUCAGUAGAUCUGCCUGUGCUUGGACUUCCUGUACUACCCAUUCCUGAGGGGCGAUGCUUCUGCAGGGCCUGUGACUUGGUGCACAACUUCAGACACCAUCAUCUUGCAGCAGCACCGCACCCUCACUAGCCAGGGUGUUGAUGACUUCCUCAAGGCCAAGGCCACAUUCAAGGCUUCGGACUUUAUUGAUGCGCUUGUGCUGAGCAAGGAUGAAAAUGGGAAGGAGUUGUCAGACGAGGACAUAUAAAUGGAGGCUGGCAUAUUCAUGAGUGCUGGAUAUGACAGCAGAGCCAGUGGCCUCUACUAGAUCCUGUACAACCUCACAAAACACCCAGACAUCGGGAGUGCUGCCAGCCUGUGAUGCAAGAGUCCUAAUCCUGAAGACAUUGAAUGACCUGUCAUUCUGCUGUUUUUACCAAAAAGGAUCAUGAGGAUCAGAGAGGAAAAGUCACUUGCCCAAAGUCACACAGCUGAACAGUGGUGGAGUUCAACUUUGACCAUGGGCUGUCUGGCCCCAAGGUGUAUGCUUGCUUCUCUCCCAAGAGACUCCUUUCUUAUCAGGCUCAAAUGAAUGAAAGGAGGAUGUUAAAGUUCCUAGAAGCUUUAAUUGAAUGAAAGUUCCUAGUAGAUCUGUACCUACUAAAAACCACACUUCUGAAGCUACGUGGCCACCAGAAGACACAGCUAGUCUGCCAUGUAAAAAAGGAAAGGUGGCGUGUGCCCUGAAGGCGCAGGGGUGAGAGGCAGGGAAAUGGAGACCCCAACAGCCAGCAUCAGUGGCCCUCAUCACAGCCCUCCAGGAGAUAUCAAAGGAGACAACGCCAUUAUUGACGAGAUCACUCCCAAGCGGAUUGGAGAUUGUCCCAAUACUUAGACCUAUAGCAAGGCCUUGGGAGAAAUGGUGGUGCAGCAGGAGAGCAGGAACCUAACCAUUGCCAUCCUAAGGCCCUCCAUUGUGCGGAGCAACGUCGCACCAGCUUUUCCUGGGUUGGGUUGAUAAUCUAAAUGGAUGUAGCUGACUCAUUAUUGCGGCUGGGAAAGGGUUUCUUCUGUCCAUAAAAGCUACUCCAAUGGCUGUGGGAGACUUAAUUCCAAUUCCAGGUGAUACAGCCGUCAAUCUCCCACUAGCUGUAGGAUGGUGUGUGUGCUGCAGUUCACAGGGCAAAGGAGAUAGAAGUGGAUGAAAUGAGAGAAUUUUCUUUAAUUGAACUCUGGUUAAUGCCAAAAGUGUUCAAUCACUAUGUGUGGGGAAGUUUCCUGGUACAAAGGAAAAAAAAACAGACCUAAGUCAGUGUUAGUCUACCACUGUACAUCUGGUAACCUCAAUCCCUGCAACCGGGGCAAAAUGGGUUUCCAGGUCUUGGCAACCUUUGAAAUUCCAAUUCCAUUUGAGAGAGCUUUGACGAGGCCAUAUGCUGAUUUCACCACCAGCAACUUCAGAACCCAGUACUGGAAUGCCAUCAGCCAGCAGGCCCCUGCCAUCAUCUAUGACUUCUAUCUGUGGCUCACUGGAAGGAAACCCAGCUACCGAAGGAAGAUACCCUCAUCAACCCAAUUUUACAAAUGGAGAAAUAGAAGUUAAGGGAAGAAUCUGAAGUAGUCUCAAAGGCAGUGACAGGAAGGAUGUGGAGAAAGCUGAGUGUCAAAGUCAGUAUUCAGGACCGGCUUUACUGCUACUUAGAGAUGAAUGAAGAAAUCAGAGGGAACGCAGUGUGCUGAUGCUAAAGCAGCUGUCACCACCCAGCUGUGUGACAUAGGACAUAUUCUUUCUCUGUCUCACUUGACUAAUAUGAUAUGUCAGAGGAGACAUGAUUGUAAUUGCCUAAAGCAAUUCUUGUGAUCAAGACUCAGAAGCACGAACAGUAUUGCCCUCUGUGUUAGCCCCUUUAUAAGGGAGGAUAUCAUCUUCAGCAUGCUGAAUUGUCAUCUUUCUUAGCAGUGCAAAUGACUAAAACUUAGCCAAUGUAGAGUUUGUCCAAAUUUGGAGCUCAUAACUCAGUUCUUGAGCAAAGUGAAAAGAAAACAUUGUGAUUAUGGGGAAAAUAUUUGACGGGACUUAUCAAAUAAAGAUAGGAAAAGAAGAAAACCCAAAUAUUAUAGGCAGAAAUGCUAAAGGUUUUAAAAUAUGUCAGGAUUGGAAGAAGGCAUGGAUAAAGAACAAAGUUCAGUUAGGAAAGAGAAACACAGAAGGAAGAGACACAAUAAAAGUCAUUAUGUAUUCUGUGAGAAGUCAGUAAGAUUUGUUGGAAGUGGGUUGGUUUGUUGUAUGGUAUGUAUUUUAGCAAUAAUCUUUAUGGCAGAGAAAGCUAAAAUCCUUUAGCUUGCGUGAAUGAUCACUUGCUGAAUUCUUCGAGGUAGGCAUGAUGAAGGAGGGUUUAGAGGAGACACAGACACAAUGAACUGACCUAGAUAGAAAGCCUUAGUAUACUCAGCUAGGAAUAGUGAUUCUGAGGACACACUGUGACAUGAUUAUGCCAUUACAUGUAUGGUAGUGAUGGGGAUGAUAGAAGGAAGAACUUAUGGCAUAUUUUCACCCCCCCAAAAAUCAGUUAAAUAUUGGGACACUAACCAUCCAGGUCUAGAAAAGUCACAUGCCAUAGCCAUGGUAUUGCACAUCAUUCAUCUUGCAUUCUUUGAGAAUAAGAAGAUCAGUAAAUAGUUCAGAAGUGGGAAGCUUUGUCCAGGCCUGUGUGUGAACCCAAUAUUUUGUUUAGAAAUAGAACAAGUAAGUUCAUUGCUAUAGCAUAACACAAAAUUUGCAUAAGUGGUGGUCAGCAAAUCCUUGAAUGCUGCUUAAUGUGAGAGGUUGGUAAAAUCCUUUGUGCAACACUCUAACUCCCUGAAUGUUUUGCUGUGCUGGGACCUGUGCAUGCCAGGCAAGGCCAAGAUGGCUCAAAGAGCAACCAGCCACCUCUGCAGCCUGCCACCUCCUGCUGGCAAGAUUUGUUUUUGCAUCCUGUGAAGAGCCAAGGAGGCACCAGGGCAUAAGUCUACUCACUUAUAUCUGUCUGGAACAUAACGCUUGUUUGUUUUUACAACAAAUAAAAUUGAUCUUGAAUAAAAACUGAGUGGUCAUUGUCAUUAAUCUUUGAAGCCAG